rnacentral:rRNA from 1 species
GGGUGAGUAACACGUGGGAAACCUACCUCUUAGCAGGGGAUAACAUUUGGAAACAGAUGCUAAUACCGUAUAACAAUGACAACCGCAUGGUUGUUAUUUAAAAGAUGGUUCUGCUAUCACUAAGAGAUGGUCCCGCGGUGCAUUAGCUAGUUGGUAAGGUAAUGGCUUACCAAGGCGAUGAUGCAUAGCCGAGUUGAGAGACUGAUCGGCCACAAUGGGACUGAGACACGGCCCAUACUCCUACGGGAGGCAGCAGUAGGGAAUCUUCCACAAUGGGCGAAAGCCUGAUGGAGCAACGCCGCGUGUGUGAUGAAGGGUUUCGGCUCGUAAAACACUGUUGUAAGAGAAGAAUGACAUUGAGAGUAACUGUUCAAUGUGUGACGGUAUCUUACCAGAAAGGAACGGCUAAAUACGUGCCAGCAGCCGCGGUAAUACGUAUGUUCCAAGCGUUAUCCGGAUUUAUUGGGCGUAAAGCGAGCGCAGACGGUUAUUUAAGUCUGAAGUGAAAGCCCUCAGCUCAACUGAGGAAUUGCUUUGGAAACUGGAUGACUUGAGUGCAGUAGAGGAAAGUGGAACUCCAUGUGUAGCGGUGAAAUGCGUAGAUAUAUGGAAGAACACCAGUGGCGAAGGCGGCUUUCUGGACUGUAACUGACGUUGAGGCUCGAAAGUGUGGGUAGCAAACAGGAUUAGAUACCCUGGUAGUCCACACCGUAAACGAUGAGUGCUAGGUGUUUGAGGGUUUCCGCCCUUAAGUGCCGCAGCUAACGCAUUAAGCACUCCGCCUGGGGAGUACGACCGCAAGGUUGAAACUCAAAGGAAUUGACGGGGACCCGCACAAGCGGUGGAGCAUGUGGUUUAAUUCGAAGCAACGCGAAGAACCUUACCAGGUCUUGACAUCCCUUGACAACUCCAGAGAUGGAGUGUUCCCUUCGGGGACAAGGUGACAGGUGGUGCAUGGUUGUCGUCAGCUCGUGUCGUGAGAUGUUGGGUUAAGUCCCGCAACGAGCGCAACCCUUAUUACUAGUUGCCAGCAUUCAGUUGGGCACUCUAGUGAGACUGCCGGUGACAAACCGGAGGAAGGUGGGGAUGACGUCAAAUCAUCAUGCCCCUUAUGACCUGGGCUACACACGUGCUACAAUGGCGUAUACAACGAGUUGCCAACCCGCGAGGGUGAGCUAAUCUCUUAAAGUACGUCUCAGUUCGGAUUGUAGGCUGCAACUCGCCUACAUGAAGUCGGAAUCGCUAGUAAUCGCGGAUCAGCACGCCGCGGUGAAUACGUUCCCGGGUCUUGUACACACCGCCCGUCACACCAUGAGAGUUUGUAACACCCAAAGCCGGUGGGGUAACCUUCGGGAGCCAGCCGUCUAAGGUGGGACAGAUGAUUAGGGUGAAGUC